UGUGUGUGUGCGUGCGUGUGUGUGUGUGUGUGUGUGUGUAAGGAGGGGUGGGGAUCAGGGGCAGGCUGAGGCAGGAGGAGCAACAGUGGAUGAAUCAGAAGCAGCGGAAUGACACAUUUUUCUUCCAGAAACAAUUCUUUGGGUGAGAUUUUAAUCGCCAGGCCAAAAGGAAUGAGUUGUCGGAGACAGCGCCCCUCAAUAAAUGUACAACGAACGACGUGUAGCCGGGUUUUGUUUUAAGACCUUUAAUAAAUACAAUUCCGUCUUCCUGAUGCUUCGUAUCUUCAGUCAUACUGAAAGUAUUAUUGUCGUUAUUUUGCAAACAUUUCAGUUCUAGAGGGUCCUUGGAGCAGGGCCGGAGCCACGCCCAGGACCGCGAUCACCUGCUGCGCGUCGGCGGGGACUCGGUCCCCUCAUCUCCGCUUCCCUCCCCCACCCCCAGGCUGAUGGAUAUUCUUGGAUGUGGACCCCUUUAAAAAUGACAAAUGUCUUGUCAAUACAGACUAUCCAUCCUUUCUUGCUUUCUCAUCAUUUUUCGGCGCCGAGAAGGGACCCAGGCGCAGGCCCAGCGGCGCGUGUCACGCGGCCUGCACUGUAACGUAAUCGCUAAAACCUUGGCCUAAUUUACAACUAAUGUAUCUCGAGUGAAGGAGUCGGCGAGAAAUCAGUGGCCCAAGGAGCUAGAUUUAAGCUGUGGAGGAAUCGGAAAUUAAGGAACUGUAAGGAGGAUUAUCAUUCUCCCGUCUCCCCUCCCACACACGACCAUAGUAACUCAAGAUCUGAGCUGAGAGAAACCGGAGUCCUUGAAAGGCGGCUAACGGCGCCCCUCCCCACCGCCUCCCAGUCGCUCUACGUGGAUACAGAUAUGACUUGCUUUUGUUACAGUUGGAUCACAGAACCUCAGGCCUUGAAUGGAUCCUUGACUUUCUCAUAUUUGGACAAACAACAGCUUCAAAGUUGCCUACAAUGUACUAAACAAAGUUAGGAGAACUGCCCCAGAUAUGAUGAAAUUGUUUCCUGUAUGUGAAUGUUGAGAUUUAAGGAAAUGUCAUGAUUCCCCUUUGACUCACAUGUAAAUUCUUUUUUAUUUUUUUUUGAAUGUUACUGCCUUUGAGACUUGCAAAUAGUUAAACCAGUUUACAUAGUUCUUUUUUCCCCUUUCUUUUUAAGUACAGCUCUUAAGUAAGCAGACACUUUAACUUGCCUUCUUAUUAGACAGCCUUUUCUUUAUUGCUUUUUCAUAGCACAGCUAUCAAAAAUGAGAUAAUGUGCAAGAUCUGGGACCUAAUCAGCUUUCUAGCUGAGUUUAAAGAGUCCAGAGCCUGUUUAAAGGUAGCUCUGGUUAUGUGUGAGGGCCUACUGCAGUGUUUGUCCUGCCACAUUUUGAUGGAGAGGGUAAUGUGUUUGCUAGAUAAGGCAAAAGGGACCAGCCAAAAAAGCAAGGCUCUGUUUGAUAAACCCUGACAUAGUUAGCCAUUUUUCUCCCACAUGAAAGGAAGCUUUAAAACCCCAAGGAAAAAAGAGGUGUCCACUCAAGCACACUAAUGUUUAUCGAGACAAAAAAAGUAAAUAAAGAAAAUUGGCAUCUUUUAGUCUAUUAAAUUAAUGAGCUCUAGAGCUUAUCAUGGAAUUGAAAAGCUGGAUAAAAUACAAGUCUAUUUCUUGUUGCUGUUAUUUGAUGUGAAAGGUGAGUUCUUUACGUCAGUGUACAUUGAAAAGACAGUUACUUUGUUUGGCUUGUCUCACUCUGGUAGAAGACUUGAACUCUACAGGAAGGAGUUCAUGAGCCGAAGUUGCACUUUUAUAAUGCUGACUGGUGUGGACUUGGGAUGAGAACUCAGUCUGACAUUAGUGUUAAACAUACACGAUGACAUUCUCUGUCAAGUGAUCUAUAGCCUGAAAACAGAUUUACAAAGCCAGAAUAAAAAUAUGCCACCUGACAUCUACUCAUAAUUAGAGGUCAGUUCUAAAAGUCCAAUUAAAAUAAGUUCAUACAUAAAGAUGUUUUAAAAUAAAAUGGCUUUACAAUCUAGAAUGAUGUGAAAGUCCUGGAGGUGAACUAUUGGCACAGGUGAGACACUUAUAAUAAUUGUCUUUUUCUAGGAAAAAUAAAGGGACAAAAUAUCAGAAAUCUUCCUAAAAUAGAGCUGUCUCUCGAAAUAAGAAUUUAAAUGAUAUAAGUUUGAAGAUUAUUUGGGGCUUGAUUUUUAUAAUAUGAUCACUUCCAGUUAAUUUAGAAAGAAAUAUCAAUCUUAGGUCAAUAUCUUAGUAAAACUUUCUACUUUUUUUCUUUAGAAAAGAUACUCCUCUAAUGUCUUGUUUUUCUAAAUCCCAAGUAUUUGAUAAACCGAAAAAGUGGCUUCAGAAGAUCAGUUCAUCUAUAGGACAUUUCAUUUUAUUUAUUUUUAAGAUUUAAAUUUUUUUUUAAUCUUUUAAAAAUAUCUUAUUUAUUCAUUUGACAGAGAGAGAGAUAACAAGCAAGGGGGGGUCUGCCUAGAGGGAGAGUGAGAAUCAGGCUCCCCAGAGCAGGGGGGAGCCUGAUGUGGGAAUCCAUCUUAUGACCCCGGGAUCACGACCUGAGCUGAAGGCAGUCGAUUAACCAACUGAGCCACCCAGGCGCCCUAAGAUUUUGUUUUUUUAAAGUAAUCUCUACACCCAACGUGGGGCUCGAACCCACAACCCCACGAUCAAGAGUUGCAUGCUCCACUGACGCCAGCAGGGUGCCCUUAUAGAACGUUUUAAAAUAUAAUCACUUGAAUCUUUAGAACUGUGUUUCUCUUAUAUAUUAAUCAUUUCAAACAUUUUUUAUGGCUCUGUGUUAAUAAUCUAUAUGAGUGUAGAUUUUUAGAUGAAUUUAAUGUCAACUAGGGAUUAAUGUGAAUUAAUUAAAUUGACUGUAUCUUCUUUAAUGAGAAAAAAAGGAUUUAGUUUUAAUACUGAUGAUCUUAAUAAAGCUUCUCUCUACUUAUCUGUAUUUUCUCAACAUUAGGACUUAUUUUUAUUAGAAGGUGA